rnacentral:rRNA from 1 species
AACGAACGCUGGCGGCAUGCCUAACACAUGCAAGUCGAACGGGAUCCAGGCUUCGGCCUGGUGAGAGUGGCGGACGGGUGAGUAACGCGUGGGAACCUGCCCAAUGGUCUGGGAUAACCGCGGGAAACUGCGGCUAAUACCGGAUAAGCCCGAGAGGGGAAAGAUUUAUCGCCGAUGGAGGGCCCGCGUCAGAUUAGGUAGUUGGUGGGGUAAUGGCCUACCAAGCCUACGAUCUGUAGCUGGCUGAGAGGAUGAUCAGCCACACUGGGACUGAGAGACGGCCCAGACUCCUACGGGAGGCAGCAGUGGGGAAUCUUGCGCAAUGGCCGAAAGGCUGACGCAGCGACGCCGCGUGGGGAG